GGAAUAUCCUGGCCAUCUAGGCAACAUCUCUUUCUAGAAUACUGAACUCUUAUGUUUGGUUUACUUGCUAUUCUCCCCCACACUGCAAGUGCUGCUGUAAGCUGAACCACUGGGAAAAUUUCCAAGGAAUAAUGGGAGGAAUUCUCAAGGACAAAAUGAGGACAGCACAAGGCUGAAAUUUAUCCCAGUGAGGCUGCAAAGGAUGUGGAAGGAAAGCUACAGAUGGCAGGUCAGCUCUUGGACAGGAGAGCAGUAGGGCACCAACACAAGUGGGGCAGGAAGGGGAAGCAAAGAGUCUGUCCCUCUGUGGCUUGAGUGGCUCUGUCACAAAAGGACAGUGGUGCAAACUGAGCAAGCAACGACGACCUGAUGGUUGAGGACCCCCCUCCAGUGCCUUUCAGUGCAUUCCUCCAGCCUGCAGGACCAAGCACAGCCCUGACCUGAUGAGCUGCUUCUCAUCCAGAAGUAAUAAAACCAAAGAUUAAGAGGGAAGAGAGAGCCAAUUCAGUGCAGGUAAAGAAGUGGUUACUAUAGCAACUGUUUUCUUUUUUGAUCAUAGGUUGGGAGGACUCCCUUGCAAGGGGAUUUCUGUGCAGUCUCCAGGCUGGAAGGGGAAGUUGCUUCAAGAAUCUUGUUUGACAAAGGCUGCAUGGCUGCACUCUUGAACUCUG